AAUUUACAGAUUUAUCUCAACUAUCUGGCAAUACGAACUACAAAUUUUGUUAUUUUAAUAGUAACAUCCACAUAGUCAUAAAUAAUUGGCUAUUGUCUUUACUGCUUUAGGUUUGCGUUUUGUUACUUUUUUAGCAGCAAAAAUUACUUUUUUAGCAUACUUUUUAAGCAGCAGUGAGUGGACAGGGCCGUCCGGGUCACCAAUUUAGCGUAUGAGUAUAUGUGUGUUGCAGCUAGUGAUAGGGAAGCAGAUAUGCUGCUUGCCAUUGAGCGCUCACAUUUACCUCGAGUUGACUUGACACCCAAACACUGAUCAAUUAUAAAACACAACAUGCAAUAUAUAUUAAGAGAUAUCAUGAAUAUGCAUGAGAUGUGAUGUCAUGAGUUCACUACACGUGUAUCUAUUGUUACUAGGAGAAGCAACUGAUGGUGAGACUAGACCUGUAGGAAGAGGAAUGGCUACACGUAAUAGAGAAGCAACUAAUGGUGAUACUAGAGCUGUAAGAAGAGGAACAGCUACACGAGAAGCAACUGAUGGUGAUACUAGAGCUGUCAGAAGAGAAACAGCUACACGUAAUAGUAAGUUCUUUUAUGCUAGCAGUGAGUAAGUGUAUGUCUCGAGCUGUGUAGAAUGAGGUAUGCAGCUAGUACCAAUAGCUCAAAAUAAUAUCAGGGCAAAAGAGCGUGUGUGUUUGAGAAAAUUGUUACGUUUAAAGUUUAAGCUUACUGAGUAAAAGUUCUAUUAAUGAUUGGCACCACCCAUUUUGUGGCACUUGUUUUAUCUAGGUAAACUAUACUUUGCC